GCACCAUUCAGGGCAGCAGCACCAGGUAGUUUGGGAUUUGAACUUCGCUGUCAGAGGAUAAGAACAUGACUUCACUUUGUAGACAAGUUUGUUGGCUCCUCUAUCCUCCCCAAAGCAGGGAUGCCUCUUUGGACUCCUGGGUUGUGUUUCCAAGGAAGAUAGCAUCCCCUAACCAGCACAGCAUCCUUAGCCUUGCUCCUAGACCCUACCAUGCUGACAAUGCCAACUUUGAUUGACGCUGGAGUACUCCCAAAUGCCAAGCAGCUGGAGGAGGCUGCACUUUGCUUUCAGCCCAGGCUUUAGCAUUUGCCUGGUAUCUGAAGGGACGUUUCAAGACCCAUUUGAAGUAGAGAGAAGAGGUAAGUAACAUUCUUAAAAAAGCAUUAUCUCAUCCAUGAGUUCUUGUGAAAGUUGACACAGGUGCCAGGUGGGUAAUCACAGAUACUAUCUU